rnacentral:rRNA from 1 species
AUUGAACGCUGGCGGCAGGCCUAACACAUGCAAGUCGAGCGGAUGAAGGGAGCUUGCUCCUGGAUUCAGCGGCGGACGGGUGAGUAAUGCCUAGGAAUCUGCCUGGUAUUGGGGGAUAACGUCCGGAAACGGGCCCUAAUCCCGCAUACGUUCUGAGGGAGAAAGUGGGGGAUCUUCGGACCUCACGCUAUCAGAUGAGCCUAGGUCGGAUUAGCUAGUUGGUGGGGUAAAGGCCUACCAAGGCGACGAUCCGUAACUGGUCUGAGAGGAUGAUCAGUCACACUGGAACUGAGACACGGUCCAGACUCCUACGGGAGGCAGCAGUGGGGAAUAUUGGACAAUGGGCGAAAGCCUGAUCCAGCCAGGCCGCGUGUGUGAAGAAGGUCUUCGGAUUGUAAAGCACUUUAAGUUGGGAGGAAGAGCAGUAAGUUAAUACCUUGCUGUUUUGACGUUACCAACAGAAUAAGCACCGGCUAACUUCGU